rnacentral:misc_RNA from 2 species
AACGCACAUUGCGCCCGCCAGCAUUCUGGCGGGCAUGCCUGUUCGAGCGUCAUUUCAACCCUCGCAGCCCAUCUGGGCAGCGGUGUUGGGGACCGGCACCACCGGCGAAGCCCUUAGGGACCCAGCCGGCGCCGCCCCCGAAAUACAGUGGCGGUCUCGCUGCAGCCUCCCUUGCGUAGUAGCACACCUCGCACCGGAGCGCAGCGCGGCCACGCCGUAAAACCCCCGACUUUCUGAGUUUGACCUCGAAUCAGGUAGGAAUACCCGCUGAACUUAA